GAUGAACGCUGGCGGCGUGCCUAAUACAUGCAAGUCGAGCGAACAGACGAGGAGCUUGCUCCUCUGACGUUAGCGGCGGACGGGAGAGUAACACGUGUAUAACCUACCUAUAAUACUGGGAUAACUUCGGGAAACCGGAGCUAAUACCGGAUAAUCUAUUGAACCGCAUGGGUCAAUAGUGAAAGACGGUUUUGCUGGCUCGUAUAGAGGGAUCCGGGCGGCAUUAGCUAGUUGUUAAGGUAACGGCUUACCAAGGCGACGAUGCGUAGCCGACGUGAGAGGGUGAUAGCCCACCUUGGAACGGGGACGCGGACCAGAGGACUGCGGGAGGCAGCAGAAGGGAAUGUGACGCAAUGGGCGAAAGCAUGACGGAGCAACGCCGAGCGAGUGAUGAAGGUCUUCGGAGCGUAAAACUCUGUUAUUAGGGAAGAACAAAUGUGUAAGUAAAUAAGCACUUCUUGACGGUACCUAAUAAGAAAGCAACGGCUAACUACGUG
rnacentral:rRNA from 1 species